CCCUUUCACUGCAUUCCUUGAAAUCACAAUUUAGACCAUUUUGUGACAGUCACAACAGAACUUGAGCAGUCAAAGAAAAGCUCAGAGGCAAAAUCAUUCCACUAAUUUCAGCAUGACGAAGUCUGAGUAGUAAUCUGAAAAUAUCUCCAACAUUUUAGUUGUGAGGAGCUGCAGGAACAUGGAACAUUUACUGAAACCGAUGGCCCAUGAUCUGCUGAUGCAUGAGGUAUUUCCGGAAGUAGAGAAGACCAACGAUGACCAUUCGCAGAGGAAGCAUGGUGGCCAGUUUCUCGAAGCAGUGGCUGGACAGACGACUGCUCAAGUUCCCUGUCUGGUGUGUUUCUGCCCAUUAGGAUCCAAGGUUCCCUUUUCUUUUCUUUUUUGCAUUUCUCUAUCCCUCUCUUUACUGAGCAUAUCUGCUGCAUCACAUUAACAUUGCAGCUUACUCCCUCUCCAUCAUCUGCGUUCUCUGUCUCCAUCUGUCUUCACGACCGUGUUCUCUCUCUCUCUCUCUCUGUCUGUCUCCCCCUCCCAUCCACGUCUGAUCUCUCCUGCUCGCUGCCUCUCAGACAAACAGCUGAAAACGUUAAAAUGCUUUCAGCUGGUUGUCAUCAGUCGCAGUCGUCUGCUCUUACC